CCAACAUGCCGAGGCGAUCGGCUCCAGGGCAGACGCAUUCUGCAGCGGAGCGAGGGAUGCGGACAGGCACGGCUCUUUUUUCCGGCACCGAGGCCACUCGACGGAGCCGCCAGGACCCGGCUGCCCUCGCGAGGGAGGCUGACAAGGCGUAGGCGGAGCCAGCAGCGUCCCCUCCCCGGCCGUUCAAAAGCAGCCCCUGGGGAGCGCGGCGACCAGGGCGUAGCGAGGGAGUUGGCGCCGCCGUUUGCGCAGGCACGGCGAGCAGGGAGGGCAGAGCGUUCCCCCCCCGCCCAUACGAACAACUCCUCUAACGGCUGUCGACUGCUAGGAUUUUGGAAGCAAUCCCAACCAGAGAAAGAGCAGGGAGUUCUUGAUUUUUGGAUGAGAAGACACAAGGCAUUGGCUGUGAAACAGAACAUCAGGCAUUGCAUGACAUCAGGUAGCACAUUUCUGUUUAUUUGCCUUUCUUCAAGAACUCUAACUCACUGUUGGGCAAAGGAGUGCAUACAAGAUGUACAAGAAAAGGUUAAAAGAGACUUUAUGGUCUUUAUGGUGAAAUAUCACCAUAUUCUAUGGCAUGAAGGACCACAGCCUCUUUUUUUUUUUUUUUUUCUUUUUAAAAGGAUAUGGUUCUGUGUUCUGGCUGAUGUUUUACAGUUCAGAGAACAACUUGCCCUUCUACAGGAAUCUCUUGAGAAAAUUAAUAGUGAACACAGUAUUUUACUAGGCUGUAUUACUGAAUAA
rnacentral:lncRNA from 1 species